rfam:Oscillibacter valericigenes Sjm18-20 DNA, complete genome.
CCCUUAUCAAGAGUGGCGGAGGGAACGGCCCGAUGAAACCACGGCAACCUGUCUUUGACAAGGUGCCAAAUCCGACGGAAUCCGACAGAUGAGGA